rnacentral:rRNA from 1 species
ACAAACUCCGAAUGCCAAUUAAUUUAACUUGGGAGUCAGAACAUGGGUGAUAAGGUCCGUGUUCGAAAGGGAAACAGCCCAGACCACCAGCUAAGGUCCCAAAAUAUAUGUUAAGUGGAAAAGGAUGUGGCGUUGCCCAGACAACUAGGAUGUUGGCUUAGAAGCAGCCAUCAUUUAAAGAGUGCGUAAUAGCUCACUAGUCGAGUGACACUGCGCCGAAAAUGUACCGGGGCUAAACAUAUUACCGAAGCUGUGGAUUGUCCUUUGGACAAUGGUAGGAGAGCGUUCUAAGGGCGUUGAAGCAUGAUCGUAAGGACAUGUGGAGCGCUUAGAAGUGAGAAUGCCGGUGUGAGUAGCGAAAGACGGGUGAGAAUCCCGUCCACCGAUUGACUAAGGUUUCCAGAGGAAGGCUCGUCCGCUCUGGGUUAGUCGGGUCCUAAGCUGAGGCCGACAGGCGUAGGCGAUGGAUAACAGGUUGAUAUUCCUGUACCACCUAUAAUCGUUUUAAUCGAUGGGGGGACGCAGUAGGAUAGGCGAAGCGUGCGAUUGGAUUGCACGUCUAAGCAGUAAGGCUGAGUAUUAGGCAAAUCCGGUACUCGUUAAGGCUGAGCUGUGAUGGGGAGAAGACAUUGUGUCUUCGAGUCGUUGAUUUCACACUGCCGAGAAAAGCCUCUAGAUAGAAAAUAGGUGCCCGUACCGCAAACCGACACAGGUAGUCAAGAUGAGAAUUCUAAGGUGAGCGAGCGAACUCUCGUUAAGGAACUCGGCAAAAUGACCCCGUAACUUCGGGAGAAGGGGUGCUCUUUAGGGUUAACGCCCAGAAGAGCCGCAGUGAAUAGGCCCAAGCGACUGUUUAUCAAAAACACAGGUCUCUGCUAAACCGUAAGGUGAUGUAUAGGGGCUGACGCCUGCCCGGUGCUGGAAGGUUAAGAGGAGUGGUUAGCUUCUGCGAAGCUACGAAUCGAAGCCCCAGUAAACGGCGGCCGUAACUAUAACGGUCCUAAGGUAGCGAAAUUCCUUGUCGGGUAAGUUCCGACCCGCACGAAAGGCGUAACGAUUUGGGCACUGUCUCAACGAGAGACUCGGUGAAAUCAUAGUACCUGUGAAGAUGCAGGUUACCCGCGACAGGACGGAAAGACCCCGUGGAGCUUUACUGUAGCCUGAUAUUGAAAUUCGGCACAGCUUGUACAGGAUAGGUAGGAGCCUUUGAAACGUGAGCGCUAGCUUACGUGGA